rnacentral:rRNA from 1 species
ACCUCAAGUCAAGUAAGAAUACCCGCUGAACUUAAGCAUAUCAAUAAGCGGAGGAAAAGAAACUAACAAGGAUUCCCUUAGUAACGGCGAGUGAAGUGGGAAGAGCUCAAAUUUUAAAUCUCCGAGGUUUCCUUGGCGAGUUGUAAUUUGAAGAGAGUGUUUUGACAUUCAGGUUUAAUUUAAAUCCUUUGGGAUAAGGUAUCAUAGAGGGUGAGAAUCCCGUUUAUGAUUAAAUCUUGAGUGUCACUUAAUUCACUUUCCAAGAGUCGAGUUGUUUGGGAUUGCAGCUCAAAACGGGUGGUAAAUUUCACCUAAGGCUAAAUAUAUGCAAGAGACCGAUAGCGAACAAGUACCGUGAGGGAAAGAUGAAAAGAACUUUGAAAAGAGAGUUAAAUAGUACGUGAAAUUGUUGAAAGGGAAACGAUUGAAGUCAGUCAUGCUAGUGGGGAAUCAACUUGAUGGUGUGUGGGUUCUCUCGCAUACUUUCCGGUGCACUUCCUUACUCGGCAGGUUAGCAUCAAUUUCGGUUAUCAUCCAAAAUUUGAGGGAAUGUGGCUCUUCUUCGGAAAAGUGUUAUAGACCUUGAUCUAUGUGGUGACCGGGAUUGAGGAUUGCAGCGGAUACCCUCGUGGCUUGUCACCUGGCUUCUGACGGUUACCCCGCUUUCGAUAGCUCGCUAACGUUAGUGGGACUCGAUUGUCUAGAUGUUAGAGUGAAUAAUUUUCGCUAAGGAUGCUGACGUAAUGGCUUUAAACGACCCGUCUUGAAACACGGACCAAGGAGUCUAACAUGUGUGCGAGUGUUUGGGUGUUAAAACCCGGAACGCGUAAUGAAAGUAAUCUUGGUGGGAACCCCUCGGGGUGCACCAUCGACCGAUCAGGAUAUUUUUUGAUAGAUUUGAGUAAGAGCACAUCUGUUGGGACCCGAAAGAUGGUGAACUAUGCCUGAAUAGGGUGAAGCCAGAGGAAACUCUGGU